rnacentral:rRNA from 1 species
GAUGAACGCUAGCUGCAGGCUUAACACAGGCAAGUCGAGGGGUAUAGGUUGCUUGCAACCUUGAGACCGGCGCACGGGUGCGUAACGCGUAUGCAACCUACCUUUUACAGAGGGAUAGCCCAGACAAACUUGGAUUAAUAGCUCAUAGUAUAUAACCUUCGAAUGUUGGUUAUAUUAUAGUUUCAACGGUAAAAGAUGGCCAUGCGUCCUAAUAGCUAGAUGGUAAGGUAACGGCUUACCAUGGCUACGAUAGGUAGGGGUCCUGAGAGGGAGAACCGCCACGCCGGGAACUAGACACGGAACAGACUCCCACGGGAAGCAGCAUUGAGUAACACUGAGCAAUGGGCGCAAAUCUGAUACAGCCAUGCCGCGUGCACGAAGACGGUACUGUGGAUUGUAAACUGCCUUUGUACGAGAAGAAACGCUCCUCCGUGUAGGAGCUUGACGGUACCGUAAGAAUAAGGAUCGGCUAACUCCGUGCCAGCCGCCGCAGUAACAC